UGGAGCUGAGGUCUGUCUGGCAAAUGUUUACCUCAGGUGUUUUUAUAGCAUCAGAAAUAGACUGAUGAGGCUUAAUUUAAAAUCUCAAGUGAUUUCUGGCCAUUCACAUAAUGUGAAUCUUAGCAGGGAAGUCAAUGAAAUAUAAACAAUUGACCAUCAUUUUUGCUUCAAUGAAAAUCUGAGUUCGGGCAGCAGCACUUGUCUGAGGAUUUUCUAGCUGUCUCUUUCUAUUGUGAAAUGGACCAUUUCAUCUUUGAAAUGUGACCCCAAAACAGGGGACCGCCUACCUCCCGCUUUCUCCUGAGUCAAGUUUUCCCAGUGUCACAGGCUUCAUGAUUUGAGUUGAAGGUAAUUUCUAGAUGUGACACUUGCAUGAAAAUAUAAAUUUAAAAUUAAUCAAUGUUAAGUGGUAGUCAGGAUUAGAGAGUUCCGGACUUGAAAAACACUUAGGAGUUAUUUAGCUCAACCUCAUCACUUUACGGAUAAAGGAACCCAGAAAGAUUAUAAGAUUUGCCCAAAACCAGAGCUGGGAACAGAACCUCAGCUCUGGCCAGAGGUCAGGCCAGACAUUUUCUCUCGCGGUUCAUACUGUUUCCUUGAAGACUUGAGAAUUUACCUUCAUUACCCACCCCUACUUAUCAGCAUUUAUGACAAGAACAAUAGACGCACGUUUAUCUACAAUAUCAUUAGGUUCACAUCUAAAGAACAACAAUGUCACAGUUGUUUAGCUGACAGUAUAGCACUCGUCCCCUACCCCACACCCAGGAAAAAAAAAAUCUCAGUGAGGGUAGAUUGCAUUCCAACCUGCAGCCUUAAGGCCCUCUGAAGAUUUUUUAAGGCAUUCUUAAGUAAAACAAAGAUGGGAUUAUCAUAACCCGCAGCAUGGGGGAGCUGGGGACGCACACCAAAACAUUUGUAUUGAAUUUGUUCGUGUUCAUGGAAUAUCAAAACCACCUAGUGCGGACUUAACCAUUCGCUCCUGAAAUUUGCAGCAUCAAUCCGGCACAGUAUGCGCUUCCUUGUGCAGAUUGGCAGGUUCUUAAUUGGUCUAACGCGCCCUCUAGUGUUCCUAUGUAAAAACUUCCUUUAAGACAAAGUGCCAUCCUUCCUAACGGUUUGGGUCCCUUUUUGUCCUGGACAGGCCUGAUUUGGGCCUAUUGUCCUGUCAUCCUGUUUGGUUUAAUAUUUGCCUGGAUGUCUUCACUUUCAGGAAAAUUGCUGUCAACGGUCACCUUGAAAGAAGCUGAGGUUGGCUGAGUGGCCCUUUGUAUUUCCUGGCUUCUUCUGUGCCUUCGUCCAGCACUGGGUGAGGCGCGUGAGCCGGGCUGUGAACUGAAUGCCUGCGUCCCCCCAGGAGUCGUGCAGAAUGUGAUGCAACGAAGGGUCACGUGAGGAUAGAACGUGAUGAUGGCCGCCUGCAAACCAGGUAGAGGGCUCUCACCGGACAGUGAAUCUGCCAGCACGUUCCCCCUGGACUUCCCAGCCUCCAGAAUGGAACUGUGGCAUGCCGCUUCCACAGGGUUUACCCCGAGGACUCCUACACCAGCAUCUGGGAGUAGCUGUCCAAGCCACAGCCGGUUUCCUGCUCUGCCUAGAUGCCCAAUAUUUGUUCUGUUUAUUUCUCUCUGCUUUCACUCGCCCCUUUCCUUACUGGGUGGAGAGAAUUCUAAAUUCCGCCCAGCAGUAAUGUAGCCUUGUACUUCCUUCUUACACGGCUCAGCGCAUGACAUUUCACCUCCACCAGGUGAUACGGACACUCAUAACUUACUCGUGGUCAUCAGGAAUGAGCUUAAUAGAAAAAACAAUGUUCUUGUUUUACAUAAUAAGGAAAGAUACCAGUAUAGGCUCCUGAUGUGAAAUCAGAACUAUGGGUCCCUUUUAAAAGUGAAUUUGUUUUAAUAAAAGACAGAUUAUAAAAGCAAGUCACCUGAACCCAAAAUAUUUAAUUUGGAUCCUAUGGUAUUAAACAUCUUGAUCUGUGCUGUUAAGGAGGCUGAAUCUGGUACCUCAUAAAUGAAAAGAGAUCCCCGGUUAGCUACUAAUCAGCUGUGAGGAUGGUCUCAACUUCAUGUACGAUGAAGUGAACUACAUGCUUUUCACACAGAUGAGAGAUCCCUCCGUGGGGUUUUCCAAUUAUCCAGUGUACAGAGAAGACAGUCUUGUUGCUUUCCUGUUGUCUCCAAGAGCCUGCUUUACCCAUCAAAAAAGAGCAAACUUUUAUACCUGCAUGAACCUCAAGAUGUGGGAAAUCAGGUUUCAGAGUCAUUGAACAUGACCAGGGUGGGAGAACGAUACCAAGUCAUAAACUGUACAUGUUGUUAAUCAGAUGUAUAUGAAGGUAAAAUAAGCUUAGUGGGUUUAAUAACAGUUCUUUUCCUGGCCGGCGCUAAGCCUGGUCCUGUGGGAGCGGUAGGGACUCCAAUGUGGCCCCCAGCAUCAGUCCCAGCGGCUCUGCCUGCUCUCUGCCUACUGCAGCUGCUGGCAACUAACUUGAAUUAUUAUCAUUAGAGAGCUUCUCACCAUUUCUGGACCCAAAACACAGUGCAGAGCAUUGUUCAUUCAUCUACAUUAUAGAAACACAGAGAUUUGGUUUGAAAAUAAAGGUCUACCUAAAGCCCCAAGUCAGUAAACCAGAAACUACAUUGCAAGUUGAUGGUGGUAAAAUAUGAGCUCAGAAGGAACCAGAGAAAUAGAACCAUUAAGGCUUAAAUUUUCCAAUUACCUAAGUUAACCAAGGCUAUCUUACAUUAGAAGCGUUUUUCUUCCUUCCAAGAAAACUCAUCUACACAAGGGGUUAGACUAGAGCAAUGAUUCUUAACCUGAAGAGGACAUCAGAUUGCCUAGGAAAUUCUUCCAAACACACAUACUCACCCACAUCUCAGACCUGAAUCACCAGGCAGCAUGUUUAGUUUGAAAAUGUUCCACAGAAGGAUUCUGAUACAUACCUUUAGUUUGUGAAUUCUAAUCACUGAAGGCCCUUCCAGGCGUAAACUCUACAUUAAUAAAUGCGUUAAAGAAAAAAGGGCUUUGCAGAGUUGAAUCAGUAAGGUUCUGCCAACAAUAAUAAUUACUUGGUCACAUGGCGACGUUGUAGUGAAAGAGCCACUGCACCAGGUCUGUCUCCACCUCAGGGUACAGUUGCUGAGAAGGGUUUAAUACUGGAUUUGCACUUCACACGAAGUCUUCUGGAGAGAAGGGGAGUCAGCAUCGAACCAAGUUCAGAUUUUUGCUUCUUCAUUCCUAGCUGGGUAAUUAAACUCGCACUAAUUACUGAACUUCAAACUUUCUGAGCCUCAUGGGAAUUUAUAUAUAUUCCCAUACAAAAAAUGGGAAUGAGAAUCUCUCUCCCUUCUGCACAGUGCCCCAGGUGAGCCUGGCUCAGCAUAGGCGGUGGGUAAA